GCCGCCACGCCGCCUACUUGAAGACACCACGAAGUGGCUGAAAGAAUACUGGCCGGUUCGUGUAAUUAAGAAAUCCCCGAGUCUUCUGGUGCAAGCAACGCGGAGACGGACAGCCGAGCCAAGUUCCACUUCCCAUCAGACGAGGACCUGGUGGAACUUUGCUGCCUGACCUACGGACCUGCUGCCCAGCUGUUCUAGAAGACCGAGUACCUUUCUCGCCACUCUGAGGACCAUGUGACUGGAAGUUUACGUCCUGGUGCAUAUCUUCUCCCCCUGCGGAGCAGCAAGUGCCGGAUGUUUGAGUCUGUUUAUGCUAGUAACUUUAUAAACAUGGCAAGCCUGCCCUGUGCACCCGGUAGCCAAGCCUUCUAGUAGGACGGGGUCUGGGAGCGCGUCGUGCUGUCUUCGUGGCCAGCUGUUCGAGCAGCCUGGUGUACUGAUGCCCACCCUGUGGAUCCACUUACCAGCUGACCUAGCGAGCUGGUGUCUCGAUGCGCACCCUGCUAACCAGAUCUUCUUCUUCGAACCAGCUGAGGCCAGUCUUCUUGUCGCUGCCUAGGCUUCUGAUCAGAAAGUCACGCUACCGUUACGGA